AUGAGCAGCGGCACGAAGCCUCAGCAGGAUUUAACCCGCCGCGGAGGAGACACGAGAGCCGCCCCAAGCCCCUCCGCGGGGCAGCGGCAGCCGAGCCCGAGCGAGCGGAGCGAGGCAGAAGCCGGGGGGCAGCGGAGCCCCGCGAGCCGCCCGCCGCCACGGAGCGGAGCGGAGCGGAGCAGAGCAGAGCGGCCGCCGCGUCCGCCCCGUCGGGCUGCGGCCGGGGCUCGGCGCUGCGCGGCGGGCGGUCGCCCUGGUCCGGGGGGCUGCCGGGGGCCGCGGCCGUCGGGGGAGCCCCGGUGCGGCCUUCCUCGCCCCUUCCCCAUGCCCGGGGGGGCCCCCGGCGAGCACGGCGCUGGGCUGAGCGCAGCCCCACUUACCGCCGAGCCGAGCGGAGCCGGACGGACGCGGUCGCGGAGCUCUGCCCGCGCAGCCCCUCCGCCGCCCUCCUUAAGCCGCGGCGCGCCCCGGGGAGGGGCUUGGUCCGCCCGCCCCGGCCCGGCCCCGGCUCCUCCCGGCCGCCCCCGUCCCCUCGGGGCCGCCCCGUCCCCCCCCCCCGGCGCCACCCUGCUCCUCGCCUCUCCCGGGGCUUCCCGAGGUGGCCAAACCGGAGCUCGCGCCCGUGCUGGAGGCUCCCGCCGGGCCUUCAGGACGGACGGGAGGUGCAGAAGGCCGCCGGGGUGUCGGGGUGUCGGGGAGGCGGCUGUCACCCCGGCGAACACCCCCGGCUGCGGCGCCGUCGCCUCCCGUGCGCAGGGCGACGAGGAAGCUCUUUCCGGGCACGUUUCACCGCYGGAAGGGUUUGUCCGGCAGCACGACGCCUCCAGGUUGUACCGGCCGUGCCCCCGUACCAUUGAAGCGCCGCCAGGUGCUGCGCCGUACAGACCGUUAUCCUCCGUGCAUCCCGGGUUUCCGAGACCCAUCGGAUGCGGCUGUCCCCAGAUGAUGCCCUGUCCGGCUCCUUUUCGACGGGCAGGCGGCUCCACAGCUUUCCUGCACGGUCGGGUGACUCUGCUUGGCCAAGCUUUGAGCUGUUUUUCCCGAAUUGGCCCCAUUUUGAUGGCUGGUUUCUGA
ensembl:lncRNA